rnacentral:rRNA from 1 species
GACGAACGCUGGCGGCGUGCUUAGCACAUGCAAGUCGAACGGAAAGGCCCUGCUUUUGUGGGGUGCUCGAGUGGCGAACGGGUGAGUAACACGUGAGUAACCUGCCCUUGACUUUGGGAUAACUUCAGGAAACUAGGGCUAAUACCGGAUAGGAGCUCCUGCUGCAUGGUGGGGGUUGGAAAGUUUCGGCGGUUGGGGAUGGACUCGCGGCUUAUCAGCUUGUUGGUGGGGUAGUGGCUUACCAAGGCUUUGACGGGUAGCCGGCCUGAGAGGGUGACCGGCCACAUUGGGACUGAGAUACGGCCCAGACUCCUACGGGAGGCAGCAGUGGGGAAUAUUGCACAAUGGGCGGAAGCCUGAUGCAGCAACGCCGCGUGCGGGAUGACGGCCUUCGGGUUGUAAACCGCUUUCGCCUGUGACGAAGCGUGAGUGACGGUAAUGGGUAAAGAAGCACCGGCUAACUACGUG